rnacentral:rRNA from 1 species
UACGUAGGGUGCGAGCGUUUGUCCGGAAUUAUUGGGCGUAAAGAGCUCGUAGGCGGUCUGUCGCGUCGAUCGUGAAAACUUGGGGCUUAACCCUGAGCUUGCGGUCGAUACGGGGCAUGGACUGGAGUUCGGGCAGGGGGAGACUGGAAUUCCUGGUGUAGCGGUGAAAUGCGCAGAUAUCAGGAGGAACACCGGUGGGCGAAGGCGG